GCCCACGUAGCUCAGGGGAUAGAGCACUGGCCUCCGGAGCCAGGUGUCGCAGGUUCGAAUCCUGCCGUGGGUA
rnacentral:tRNA from 1 species